rnacentral:rRNA from 1 species
CCUCCAGACUCCUACGGGAGGCAGCAGUGAGGAAUAUUGGUCAAUGGGCGCGAGCCUGAACCAGCCAAGUCGCGUGAGGGAUGAAGGAUCUAUGGUUCGUAAACCUCUUUUAUAAGGGAAUAAAGUGCAGGACGCGUCCCGCUUCGCAUGUACCUUAUGAAUAAGGAUCGGCUAACUCCGUGCCAGCAGCCGCGGUAAUACGGAGGAUGCGAGCGUUAUCCGGAAUGACUGGGCGUAAAGGGUGCGUAGGUGGUUUGACAAGUUAGUAGCGCAACUCCGGAGCUUAACUUCGGAACUACUACUAAAACUGUUGGACUUGAGUGCAGGAGGGGCAAUCGGAAUUCCUAGUGUAGCGGUGGAAUGCGUAGAUAUUAGGAGGAACACCAGUGGCGAAGGCGGAGUGCUAGACUGUAACUGACACUGAGGCACGAAAGCGUGGGGAGCAAACAGGAUUAGAUACCCGGGUACAG